CAGGAUGCGAGCACAUGAAACGGGUAAAUCGCAAUGCACACACACGAAAUGGACUACUUCACCCAACAACUGCUUCAACUCAGUAGAAGGACGUUCUUAGGAAGGCCAAUGUCGGCAAAAGCCCCAAGGACCAAUGUCUUCGAUGUCCACUACCAACGGGAUCAAAGGAUGAUGUUCAUAUACUGCCUAGCUUUACCGUAUCAUGGACAGUACUCAAGCGCUCGAAGCUCAAAAGCUACCCAAGUUACUUCGGUUGCUUGUUUUGCUUUUUCAGUGAGCAAAACAAGAC